rnacentral:rRNA from 1 species
UACAGAGGGGGCAAGCGUUGUCCGGAAUCACUGGGCGUAAAGGGCGCGUAGGUGGCCGAGCAAGGUCGCGGUGAAAGCCCGGGGCUCAACCCCGGGUCGGCCGUGGCAACUACUGGGCUGGAGCACUGUAGGGGCGGGUGGAAUUCCGGGUGUAGCGGUGGAAUGCGUAGAGAUCCGGAAGAACACCGGUGGCGAAGGCGGCCCGCUGGGCAGUUGCUGACACUGAGGCGCGACAGCGUGGGGAGCAAACAGG